GAGUGCAGAGCAUGUGUUGGAACCCAGCUCGGCGCGGCCGGUGUCCUGCUGCAGGAGAAGCCCCGACUCUGCUUUGGACCUAGUGAAAAAUGGAAAUUUUUUCCCAACCGUGUCCCUGCAUCUAGCCUGCAGAGUGGCCUCUUCAAAGACCAGAAAAUACCUAAAUGUCUCUCAGAGGCAGGAUGAAGAUGGAGCUGAAGUUCAUGUUGAUUUGCUUGCAGGAGUUUCACCAUUCCUUCCCUGCUCACAACUCCCCUUUUCCACUCCCAGCAGUGCCUGAGGAGAGCAAAAUGCCCAGACAGUUCCAGGAGUCAGAGCCCACCAGCCUGCAGACACACAGGGCACACACACCACCUCUUGCAGUAAACCCAGAGCAGUCUGGCCUGCUGGGAUUUAUUGCUUCCCCACUUGCUGGCUAAUUACCUGCAAUUACCUUCCUUCUUUACCUGGAGAUGUA